rnacentral:rRNA from 1 species
AUUGAACGCUGGCGGCAGGCUUAACACAUGCAAGUCGAGCGGGGGAAGGUAGCUUGCUACCGGACCUAGCGGCGGACGGGUGAGCAAUGCUUAGGAAUCUGCCUAUUAGUGGGGGACAACAUCUCGAAAGGGAUGCUAAUACCGCAUACGUCCUACGGGAGAAAGCAGGGGAUCUUCGGACCUUGCGCUAAUAGAUGAGCCUAAGUCGGAUUAGCUAGUUGGUAGGGUAAUGGCCUACCAAGCCUACGACGGGUAGGGGGCGUGAGAGCGCGUUCCCCCAGAAUGGUACUGAGACACGGCCCAGACUCCUACGGGAGGCAGCAGUGGGGAAUAUUGGACAAUGGGGGGAACCCUGAUCCAGCCAUGCUGCGUGUGUGAAGAAGGCCUUAUGGUUGUAAAGCACUUUAAGCGAGGAGGAGGCUACUCUAGUUAAUACCUAGGGAUAGUGGACGUUACUCGCAGAAUAAGCACCGGCUAACUCUGUGCCAGCAGCCGCCGUAA